CUCAGAGUUAAGGGACAACAGCAGCAUGAAAUACAGUUCGAAUGCAUCGGCUCUUCUUCUGUGAGGACACAAGCAUAUUGGAAGCCACUCCUCACCUGAGCGCUCCCCAGCACAGAGGUGGGUUAGGUGAUUUUUCCCCGAGGGAGCUUAUGAG